rnacentral:snRNA from 1 species
UCACUUUGGCAAUGCACAUACUAGAAUUGGAAUGAUUCAGAGAAGUUUAGCAUGGUCACUGAGCAAGGAUGCCAAGCAAAUUCAUGAAGUGUUCCAUAUUUCU